GUCUAUGGCCAUGUCACCCUGAACAAGCCUGAUGUCUGAUCUCAUGAAGCUAAGCAGGGUCAGGACUGGUUAGUACUUGGAUGGGAGACCACCUAGGAAGAACAGGUGCUGUAGACA
rnacentral:rRNA from 1 species